rnacentral:rRNA from 1 species
AUUGAACGCUGGCGGCAGGCCUAACACAUGCAAGUCGAGCGACCGGCGGACGGGUGAGUCAUGUUUGGGGACUGCCCGAUAGAGGGGGAUAACUACUGGAAACGGUGGCUACUACCGCAUACUGUCGUAUAACCCAUAUGGGAUUAGCUAGUAGGUAAGGUAAUGGCUUACCUAGGCGACGAUCCCUAGCUGGUCUGAGAGUAUGAUCAGCAACACUGGGACUGAGACACGGCCCAGACUCCUACGGAGGCAGCAGUGGGGAAUAGUGCACAAGGGGCGCAAGCCUGAUGCAGCAAUGCCGCGUGUAUGAAGAAGGCCCUAGGGUUGUAAAGUACUGUCAGUAGGGAGGCGUUACCGACAGAAGAAGCACCGGCUAACUCCGUGCCAGCAGCCGCGGUAAUUC